UCUUGCGCAAUGGUCGAAAGACUGACGCAGCGACGCCGCGUGCGGGAGGAAGCCCUUCGGGGUGUAAACCGCUGUUACUCGGGACGAAUCUCCUGCUUUUGCAGGAUUGACGGUACCGGGGGAGGAAGCACCGGCUAACUCUGUGCCAGCAGCCGCGGUAAUACAGAGGGUGCGAGCGUUGUCCGGAAUCACUGGGCGUAAAGGGCGCGUAGGCGGCUUUGCAAGCGUGCGGUGAAAGCUCGGGGCUUAACUCCGAGUCUGCCGUGCGAACUGUGAGGCUUGAGUCUGGUAGAGGUCGAUGGAAUUCCGGGUGUAGCGGUGGAAUGCGUAGAGAUCCGGAAGAACACCGGUGGCGAAGGCGGUCGACUGGGCCAGUACUGACGCUGAGGCGCGACAGCGUGGGGAGCAAACAGG
rnacentral:rRNA from 1 species